GAUGAACGCUAGCGGCAGGCUUAACACAUGCAAGUCGAGGGGCAGCACGGGUAGCAAUACCUGGUGGCGACCGGCGGAAGGGUGCGUAACGCGUGAGCAACAUGCCCUAUACAGGGGAAUAAACCAGGGAAACUUGGUCUAAUGCCCCAUAGCAAUAAGAUAAGGCAUCUUAUUUUAUUUAAAGCUUCGGUGGUAUAGGAUUGGCUCGCGUGACAUUAGCUGGAUGGUGGGGUAACGGCCCACCAUGGCGAUGAUGUCUAGGGGUUCUGAGAGGAAGACCCCCCACACUGGGACUGAGACACGGCCCAGACUCCUACGGGAGGCAGCAGUGAGGAAUAUUGGACAAUGGAUGGAAAUCUGAUCCAGCCAUGCCGCGUGCAGGAAGACGGCCCUAUGGGUUGUAAACUGCUUUUCUACGGGAGCAAUAAGGUCUACGCGUAGACUGAUGAGAGUACCGUAGGAAUAAGCAUCGGCUAACUCCGUG
rnacentral:rRNA from 1 species